rnacentral:rRNA from 1 species
UGAGGAAUAUUCCACAAUGGGCGAAAGCCUGAUGGAGCGACGCCGCGUGAAGGAAGAAGGCCUUCGGGUUGUAAACUUCUUUUGCAGGGGAUGACACGCUGGAGCCGCAAGGUAUCCAGCUAGGACAGUACCCUACGAAUAAGCAUCGGCUAACUACGUGCCAGCAGCCGCGGUAAUACGUAGGAUGCUAGCGUUGUCCGGAUUUACUGGGCGUAAAGCGCGCGCAGGCGGCAUACCAAGUACGGUGUGAAAUCUCAGUGCUCAACGGUGAGGGUGCAUUGUAAACUGGUAAGCUAGAGGACGGUAGAGGGGGGUAGAAUUGCUGGUGUAGCGGUGAAAUGCGUAGAGAUCAGCAGGAAUACCCGUGGCGAAGGCGGCCCCCUGGGCCGAACCUGACGCUGAGGCGCGAAGGCUAGGGGAGCGAACGGGAUUAGAUACCCCCGUAGUCC